rnacentral:rRNA from 1 species
CACAUGCAAGUCGAACGGCAGCACGGAGCUUGCUCUGGUGGCGAGUGGCGGACGGGUGAGUAAUAUAUCGGAACGUACCCUAGAGUGGGGGAUAACGUAGCGAAAGUUACGCUAAUACCGCAUACGAUCUAAGGAUGAAAGUGGGGGAUCGCAAGACCUCAUGCUCGUGGAGCGGCCGAUAUCUGAUUAGCUAGUUGGUANGGUAAAAGCCUACCAAGGCAUCGAUCAGUAGCUGGUCUGAGAGGACGACCAGCCACACUGGAACUGAGACACGGUCCAGACUCCUACGGGAGGCAGCAGUGGGGAAUUUUGGACAAUGGGCGAAAGCCUGAUCCAGCAAUGCCGCGUGAGUGAAGAAGGCCUUCGGGUUGUAAAGCUCUUUUGUCAGGGAAGAAACGGUGAAAGCUAAUAUCUUUUGCUAAUGACGGUACCUGAAGAAUAAGCACCGGCUAACUACGUGCCAGCAGCCGCGGUAAUACGUAGGGUGCAAGCGUUAAUCGGAAUUACUGGGCGUAAAGCGUGCGCAGGCGGUUUUGUAAGUCUGAUGUGAAAUCCCCGGGCUCAACCUGGGAAUUGCAUUGGAGACUGCAAGGCUAGAAUCUGGCAGAGGGGGGUAGAAUUCCACGUGUAGCAGUGAAAUGCGUAGAUAUGUGGAGGAACACCGAUGGCGAAGGCAGCCCCCUGGGUCAAGAUUGACGCUCAUGCACGAAAGCGUGGGGAGCAAACAGGAUUAGAU